rnacentral:rRNA from 1 species
GACGAACGCUGGCGGCGUGCCUAAUACAUGCAAGUCGAGCGAAGUGUUUCUGGUGCUUGCACUAGAAAAACUUAGCGGCGAACGGGUGAGUAACACGUAAAGAACCUGCCUCAUAGACUGGGACAACUAUUGGAAACGAUAGCUAAUACCGGAUAACAGUAUUUCUCGCAUGAGAGAUAUUUAAAAGUUGGUUAUGCUAACACUAUGAGAUGGCUUUGCGGUGCAUUAGCUAGUUGGUGGGGUAAAGGCCCACCAAGGCGACGAUGCAUAGCCGACCUGAGAGGGUGAUCGGCCACACUGGAACUGAGACACGGCCCAGACUCCUACGGGAGGCAGCAGUAGGGAAUCUUCCGCAAUGGGCGAAAGCCUGACGGAGCAACGCCGCGUGAGUGAAGAAGGUUUUCGGUUCGUAAAGCUCUGUUGUUAGGGAAGAAUGGAUGUGUAGUAAAUAUACCUGUAAGAGACGGUACCUAAUCAGAAAGCCACGGCUAACUACGUG